AGUUACGCAAGCUGCGUAAAGCGCCUACGUACCCAUUGUGUUUCGGCAUCUGCUACGCACGGCGCAGAUCGUAUGGAACACCAGAAAGCGAAACAAAUUAAAUACCUAUACUCGGUGCAUUAGAUGUAGAUAGAUAUAUGCAAAUGAGUUUGUUGACAAUCGAGUUGAGAAAAAUCUUUCUGUAAUAGUUAAUCUCUAAACUAAUGAAUUUGUUACAAAAAAAAACUAGUUGAAGUUCACUAAAAAUAGGUUGAAUUAUUAAAAUUAGAAGUAGUUCCAUGCAGUGAAAUUGUGCAUCUAAAGAUUUAGAUCACAGAUAGUAGUGCGAUUAUCACAGUUAGUGCAUAAGCAUUGAUUCGGGACUGCAGUUAGGAUCAUCUACAACAAAGGUAAUAAUAUCAGUUACUAUGCUGCAGAACUAGGCAUGCGAAUAUAACAUUUAACUGCACUAAAAUAGGAAUCGCAGCAGCUACCGUACGGGACCGCUUUCCGGACGUAACGGGUAAAGACGCACUAAACG